rnacentral:rRNA from 1 species
UACGAAGGGGGCGAGCGUUGUUCGGAUUUACUGGGCGUAAAGGGCGCGCAGGCGGCAGAUCAAGUCAGAUGUGAAAGCCCCGGGCUUAACCUGGGAACUGCAUUUGGGACUGGUUUGCUAGAGAUCGGGAGAGGAGAGUGGAAUUCCCAGUGUAGAGGUGAAAUUCGUAGAUAUUGGGAAGAACACCUGUGGUGUAGACGGCUUUCUGGACCAUAGCUGACGCUGAGACACGAAAGCGUGGGUAGCAAACAGG